ACACUCUACAUUCUCCAUAUGCAGGUCUUGCUGCUGCAUGGGCAAGACUUGAACAAACCUAUGGCAGCUCUGAAGCCAUAGAAAAC